rfam:Archaeon Heimdall LC_3 HeimC3_contig000091, whole genome shotgun sequence.
CCAAAGUGUCUGGAUGUGGCUACUUGGAUCUGCGUCUGUGGUAACAGAGAUGUAGAAAGCUCCAAGGACAAUGCACCAACAGGGUUAACUGUGAAACCCAUGUGGGCUAGCCAAGAUCUCUAUGGGAA